UACGUAGGGUGCGAGCGUUGUUCGGAAUUACUGGGCGUAAAGCGCACGUAGGCGGCUUUGUAAGUUAGAGGUGAAAGCCCAGUGCUCAACACUGGAACUGCCUUUAAGACUGCAUCGCUUGAAUCCAGGAGAGGUGAGUGGAAUUCCGAGUGUAGAGGUGAAAUUCGUAGAUAUUCGGAAGAACACCAGUGGCGAAGGCGGCUCACUGGACUGGUAUUGAUGCUGAGGUGCGAAAGCGUGGGGAGCAAACAGG
rnacentral:rRNA from 1 species